rnacentral:tRNA from 1 species
GUGGGCGUAGCUCAGCCGGUCAGAGCGCACGGUUGUGGUCCGUGAGGUCGAGGGUUCGAAUCCCUCCGUCCACC